rnacentral:misc_RNA from 1 species
GAUGAAGAACGUAGCGAAAUGCGAUAAGUAAUGCGAAUUGCAGAAUCCGUGAGUCAUCGAAUCUUUGAACGCAUAUUGCGCCCUUUGGCAUUCCGAAGGGCAUGCCUGUUCGUGCGUCAUUAUCACCCCUCAAGCCCCGGCUUGGUGUUGGGCCCCCGGUGGUCGUACCCGACCACCCGCCUCAAAGAUAGUGACGGCGUCCCAGAGGGAACCGGUACGAGGAGCUUUCACGAGCAUGUACGCGGGGACGACUCUGUGGGCGACGGUCUUUUUUAACCUUAAUAUAUCAAGUGUUGACCUCGGAUCAGGUAGGAAUACCCGCUGAACUUAAGCAUAUCAAUAAGCGGAGGA